rnacentral:rRNA from 1 species
GAAGGUGGUUAUAGCGAAGAGGAAACACCUGUUCCCAUCCCGAACACAGAAGUUAAGCUCUUCAGCGCCGAUGGUACUGGUUUGGCAACAAACCGGAAGAGUAGGUCGCCGCCUUCU